rnacentral:rRNA from 1 species
CCUACGGGAGGCAGCAGUGGGGGAUAUUGGACAAUGGGGGGAACCCUGAUCCAGCGACGCCGCGUGAGUGAAGAAGUAUUUCGGUAUGUAAAGCUCUGUCAGCAGGGAAGAAAGAAAUGACGGUACCGGACCAAGAAGCCCCGGCUAACUACGUGCCAGCAGCCGCGGUAAUACGUAGGGGGCAAGCGUUAUCCGGAAUUACUGGGUGUAAAGGGAGCGUAGACGGUUAAGGAAGUCUGGAGGGAAAGGCCGGGGCCCAACCCCGGGACUGCUCUGGAAACUAUUGAACUUGAGUGCAGGAGAGGUAAGCUGACUUCCUCGUGUAGCUGUGAACUGCGUAGAUAUUAGG